rnacentral:rRNA from 1 species
GACGUAGGGCGCGAGCGUUGUCCGGAUUUAUUGGGCGUAAAGAGCUCGUAGGCGGUCUGUCGCGUCUGCUGUGAAAACUCAGGGCUUAACCCUGAGCUUGCAGUGGGUACGGGCAGACUAGAGUGCGGUAGGGGAGACUGGAAUUCCUGGUGUAGCGGUGAAAUGCGCAGAUAUCAGGAGGAACACCCCAUAGCGAAGGCAGCUUGC